rnacentral:rRNA from 1 species
UACGUAGGUGGCAAGCGUUGUCCGGAUUUACUGGGCGUAAAGAGCGCGCAGGCGGUCGUUCAAGUCGAGUGUGAAAGCCCCUGGCUCAACUGGGGAGGGUCACUCGAUACUGAUCGACUCGAAGGCAGAAGAGGGAAGCGGAAUUCCCGGUGUAGUGGUGAAAUGCGUAGAUAUCGGGAGGAACACCAGUGGCGAAGGCGGCUUUCUGGUCUGCUCUUGACGCUGAGGCGCGAAAGCUAGGGGAGCAAACGGG